CUCAUCUCUUCAUAAAAGGAAUGGUAUACUUGAUGAGUUUGGGAGGUUACCGUAUCAGUCUCUAUCCCUAUAAACAAUAUUGUCCCAGGGUCUAAACCCGUCCCAUAUAUUUGAAACCCAAAUAAAUUACCAUAUUUAUCUAGGAACUUGUCAGGGUUAUUUAUAAGUAUAUGGAUUGGAUUGCAUUCCAUAGACUUACAAUAUGGAUCAGUAGGCAACUUAG